rnacentral:rRNA from 1 species
AAGUCGUAACAAGGUUUCCGUAGGUGAACCUGCGGAAGGAUCAUUAUCGAGUUAGGGUCUUACAGGCCCCCACUCCCGCCCUUGUCUACCCUACCAUGUUGCUGUGGCGGGCCCGUCCUUCCCUGGACCGCCGGUUGGCCUGCCCUCCGGCCCGUGCCCGUCCGUAGCCCCGACCAACUCGUUGUAACCGUGGAGUCUGAGUCAUUAAACCUAAAGAAGCAAAACUUUCAACAACGGAUCUCUUGGUUCUGGCAUCGAUGAAGAACGCAGCGAAAUGCGAUAAGUAAUGCGAAUUGCAGAAUUCCGUGAGUCAUCGAAUCUUUGAACGCACAUUGCGCCCUUUGGUAUUCCGAAGGGCAUGCCUGUUCGAGCGUCAUUUCAACCCUCAAGCCUGGCUUGCCGUUGGGUCCCGCCGCUGAGAAUGGCGGCGGGCCUGAAAGAUAAUGGCGGAGCCCGUGGGGACCCGGACGUAACGAGCUUUUCCGGCACGCGUCCGGUCGUCUCUCGGGUCGCCUCACCCCCAGAUUUUCUCUCGGAUUGACCUCGGAUCAGGUAGGGAUACCCGCUGAACUUAAGCAUAUCAAUAAGCGGAGGAAAAGAAACCAACAGGGAUUGCCUCAGUAACGGCGAGUGAAGCGGCAACAGCUCAAAUUUGAAAUCUGGCCCCUCUGGGGGUCCGAGUUGUAAUUUGCAGAGGAUGCUUCGGGCAAGGCUGCGGUCUAAUUCGCUUGGAACAGCGAGUCAAAGAGGGUGAGAAUCCCGUCUAGGAUCGUGAGCCGCGCCCGUGUGAAGCUCCUUCGACGAGUCGAGUUGUUUGGGAAUGCAGCUCUAAAUGGGUGGUAAAUUUCAUCUAAAGCUAAAUACUGGCCAGAGACCGAUAGCGCACAAGUAGAGUGAUCGAAAGAUGAAAAGCACUUUGAAAAGAGAGUUAAACAGUAUGUGAAAUUGUUGAAAGGGAAGCGCUUGCAAUCAGACUUGCGCGUAGCGGUUCCCCCGGCCUUGCCGGCCGGGUCACUCUGCUAUGUCCAGGCCAACAUCGGUCUGGGUGGUCGGUAAAAGACCCCGGGAACGUAUCUACCUCCGGGUCGACUUACAGCCCGGGGUGUCAUGCGGCCCACCUGGACCGAGGAACGCGCUCCGGCUCGGAUGUUGGCGUAAUGGUUGCAAGCGGCC